GAAUUGCAGUUGAAACUGGCGUGCUUGAGUUCGGUCGAGGCAGGCGGAAUUCGUGGUGUAGCGGUGAAAUGCUUAGAUAUCACGAAGAACCCCGAUUGCGAAGGCAGCUUGCCAGGCCUGGACUGACGUUGGGGCUCGAAGGUGCGGGUAUCGAACAGGAUUAGAUACCCUGGUAGUCCGCACGGUAAACGAUGGAUACUCGCUGUCGGCGAUACACGGUCGGCGGCCAAGCGAAAGCGUUAAGUAUCCCACCUGGGGAGUACGCCGGCAACGGUGAAACUCAAAGGAAUUGACGGGGGCCCGCACAAGCGGAGGAACAUGUGGUUUAAUUCGAUGAUACGCGAGGAACCUUACCCGGGCUUGAACUGUGCCUGACUGCCUCAGAGAUGGGGCUUCCAGCAAUGGCAGGCAUGGAGGUGCUGCAUGGUUGUCGUCAGCUCGUGUCGUGAGGUGUCGGCUUAAGUGCCAUAACGGGCGCAACCCCUCCCGCCAGUUGCCAUCAGGUAAAGCUGGGCACUCUGGGGGCACUGCCACCGCAAGGUGUGAGGAAGGUGGGGAUGACGUCAAAUCAGCACGGCCCUUACGUCCGGGGCUACACACGUGUUACAAUGGGAGGUCACAGAGGGCUGCUACCCGGCGACGGGACGCCAAUCCCCAAACCCUCCCUCAGUACGGACUGGAGUCUGCAACCCGACUCCACGAAGCUGGAUUCGCUAGUAAUCGCGCAUCAGCCACGGCGCGGUGAAUACGUUCCCGGGCCUUGUACACACCGCCCGUCAAGCCAUGAAAGCCGGCGGUGCCUGAAGUGCGUAACCGCAAGGGGCGCCCUAGGGCAAAGCCGGUGAUUGGGGCUAAGUCGUAACAAGGUAACCA
rnacentral:rRNA from 1 species